rnacentral:rRNA from 1 species
GAUGAACGUUGGCGGCGUGCCUAAUACAUGCAAGUCGAACGAAGACUGUAGUAAUACUGUCUUAGUGGCGAACGGGUGAGUAACGCGUGGGUGACCUGCCCCGAAGUGUGGGAUAACAGUCCGAAAGGAUUGCUAAUACUGCAUAAUAUCCAAGAGAUUAGAUGCUUUUGGAUUAAAGGAGUAAUUCGCUUCGGGAGGGGCCCGCGUCCCAUCAGCUAGUUGGUAAGGUAAUGGCUUACCAAGGCGAUGACGGGUAGGGGACCUGAGAGGGUGGCCCCCACAAUGGAACUGAAACACGGUCCAUACACCUACGGGUGGCAGCAGUAGGGAAUAUUAGUAAUGGGCGAAAGCCUGAACUAGCAACGCCGCGUGUGCGAAGAAGGCCUUCGGGUCGUAAAGCACUUUUUGAGAGGAUGAGGAAGGACGGUACUCUCAGAAUAAGUCUCGGCUAACUACGUG